ACACCAGAGCUGUUGUCUGUUUCAAUGUGGAGAAACUGUUUCAGUGUGUUUCAGCUGAUACCGUGUGGUAGCUGCAAAGCAGAAGUCAGUUGAGUUGCACUACUGUAACAUUGCAAUCAGGUCUACAAUGACAAUUUCCCUCAC